rnacentral:rRNA from 1 species
UACGGGGGGGGCAAGCGUUGUUCGGAAUUACUGGGCGUAAAGGGCUCGUAGGCGGCCAACUAAGUCGGAUGUGAAAUCCCCAGGCCUAACCUGGGAACUGCAUCCGAUACUGGAUGGCUUGAAUCCGGGAGAGGGAUGCAGAAUUCCAGGUGUAGCGGUGAAAUGCGUAGAUAUCUGGAGGAAUACCGGUGGCGAAGGCGGCAUCCUGGACCGGCAUUGACGCUGAGGCGCGAAAGCCAGGGGAGCAAACGGG